GCCCGAAGCAAUUUUCUUCCACCAGCUCACGAUCCGCAUUCGGGCGCCGCUCCGUUCUUCCCAUCGCUCCCUGGCUCGCGAUCCGUUUCCUGAGGCCGCUUCGCUGAUCCGGGGACUAGCACCGCCCGCCGCCAGCUGCUGGCCAGCCCCUGCAUUCCCGACACCGCCGUUGCCCUCGCCGUCGACCAAAACAGCUGUGCCCCUGCCACCGCCGUUGCCCUCGAUGUUGAUCUCGCGUCUAACCUGGCAACAAGCUUCCCCCCACCCCCCGCCAGAUCCGGCACCUGACUCCCCGCGCCCAACCCCUCUCCCCCCAAGCCAGCGCUCGACAUCCCGCUUCUGCGCUUGAACCCCCUCCCCCCGCGCUGGAUUUUGCGUGUUCCAUGGAGGUCCCGAGCUCGUAUUCUGUCGGCUGUUUUCCAUCUUUCCAUCCCGAUCUCGCCUGGGUUUGGAGACAGAUUUGUGGCGUUGAAGAUCGGCGGCGCCAGAUUGUUCUUACGCGACUGCAGGUUUCUAUCUUUUUCCUUCGCUGUGGAUUUGACUGGAUAAAUGAGACAUGAAGCCCUCCUAUGCAAGGAUGAAUUCACGAAGAAGAUUAGUGCACAUGAUUCAUAUCAAUCCGAGGAGGGUGGUCUUUGAGAGCUGCCACGAGGUGUUUGUGGUUCCCCUCCAUGAUCAGGGAGGGCUGGUUGCAGGGAUGUCAAAGUCAGAAGAAUGGUGGAAAAUGUUGUACUAGACUUAGUAUUAGGUGCAACCCUGGAGAUGUGGUAUUGAGAAUUCAAUUGCUCAAUCCUGAUCAGUAUGUGGCCAUCGAGGCUCUCGGUUUUGGUCACCGGGAUGGAAGCAGUUAAGUUUAGGAAUCAACUGAUUCAGGACCUGCAGGAGGAGAUCCUGAAGGGACAGCCGGACAACCUUAGCUGCAUCCUUCUUCAUGAUUCUUUUCAACUGGUUUUUGUUCCCCACAAGUAGCUAUAACAUUGAUUUGAGCCAGAUCAAAAGGGCAAUGCAUCCUGAAACCUUCUGUGGAAUAGACUGCGCCCAAGCUGUAUUCCAUGAAUAGUUUGUAGUUCGUAGAUGGCAAAGAAUUGUCCCAAAUAAUUUAUGGCUGUACUUGUCUCCUGAUCAUAAGUUUUCUUUGGACCGAAUUAGGUGCAGGGAUAGAACCGAUACGUACAGCUUCCUACUAUUUAAGAGCUGGGCAAGAACUUGUUACGUUGCAGCUGACAGUGCACCGGAUGAAUUUUGCAAAUGGACAUGAAGUGCAUCAGAGAAGGUGACAAUCUAGUGGUGAAGGCUUGCUCAAGAAAUGGGCACAACCAAUAGCAUCUCAAACUCUGGCUAACAUAGGCAAAGAGCUAGUCUUUCACUUUGGUUGAUAAGAAUUCCGAUGGCUGAGUUCUGGGAAAUUGAUUUGCGAAGUCUAGUCAAGAGCAUCUAGGCGGGGAUGUAAAGUAUAUGGGCCUGGUACCCAUAUCCUGCUAGUAGCAUAGUGCACAUUUUUCCUUGUGACGAUUCCAGUAUUUGGUGCAACAAAUAUUCGCUGUCUGAUCAUAUUUGCCAACUUUUCCUGCAGCAUUUAUUUCACUAUUUACUGA